UAUCUCUGGUUUCCUUUCAACACGUAAAAAUCUUUCGCCUUUUACUAAAGAUUUCCGUGGAGUGGAACACUCAAAUGAGUCUUACUUUAUUUUUGAUGCCUCACUUUGGUGAGGCU
rnacentral:snRNA from 1 species